GACGAACGCUGGCGGCGUGCCUAAUACAUGCAAGUAGAACGCUGAAGGAGGAGCUUGCUUCUCUGGAUGAGUUGCGAACGGGUGAGUAACGCGUAGGUAACCUGCCUGGUAGCGGGGGAUAACUAUUGGAAACGAUAGCUAAUACCGCAUAAGAGUAGAUGUUGCAUGACAUUUGCUUAAAAGGUGCAAUUGCAUCACUACCAGAUGGACCUGCGUUGUAUUAGCUAGUUGGUGAGGUAACGGCUCACCAAGGCAACGAUACAUAGCCGACCUGAGAGGGUGAUCGGCCACACUGGGACUGAGACACGGCCCAGACUCCUACGGGAGGCAGCAGUAGGGAAUCUUCGGCAAUGGACGGAAGUCUGACCGAGCAACGCCGCGUGAGUGAAGAAGGUUUUCGGAUCGUAAAGCUCUGUUGUAAAGAGAAAGAAACCGAGUGUGAGAAGUGGAAAAG
rnacentral:rRNA from 1 species